rnacentral:tRNA from 5 species
GUCCCCGUAGCUCAGUGGAUAGAGCAACCGCCUCCUAAGCGGUAGGUCGCAGGUUCAACUCCCGCCGGGGACGCAA